rnacentral:tRNA from 1 species
GCCCCGUUCGUCUAGCGGCCCAGGACGCCGCCCUCUCACGGCGGUAGCACCGGUUCAAAUCCGGUACGGGGUA